rnacentral:rRNA from 1 species
CUAAAUAGGCGUCGUCAUUUAGGUGUGCGUGGCUACGCGUCACGCAACUCACUGGCGACGUAUUAAAAUUCUUCUUAGAGGGACCGGCGGCUUCGAGCCGCACGAGAUUGAGCAAUAACAGGUCUGUGAUGCCCUUAGAUGUCCUGGGCCGCACGCGCGCUACACUGAAGGAAUCAGCAUGUUCUCCCUGGCCUAGAGGCCCGGGCAACCCGCUGAAACUCCUUCGUGCUGGGGAUUGGGGUUUGCAAUUAUCCCCCAUAAACGAGGAAUUCCUAGUAAGCGCGAGUCAUAAGCUCGCGUUGAUUACGUCCCUGCCCUUUGU